rnacentral:tRNA from 1 species
CGGGACGUGGCUCAGCUUGGUAGAGCACUACCUUGGGGUGGUAGGGGUCGUGGGUUCGAAUCCCGCCGUUCCGACCA